rnacentral:rRNA from 1 species
UACGGAGGGAGCUAGCGUUAUUCGGAAUUACUGGGCGUAAAGCGCACGUAGGCGGCUUUGUAAGUAAGAGGUGAAAGCCCAGAGCUCAACUCUGGAAUUGCCUUUUAGACUGCAUCGCUUGAAUCAUGGAGAGGUCAGUGGAAUUCCGAGUGUAGAGGUGAAAUGCGCAGAUAUUCGGAAGAACACCAGUGGCGAAGGCGGCUGACUGGACAUGUAUUGACGCUGAGGUGCGAAAGCGUGGGGAGCAAACAGG